GCAGAUCUUUGUAGUCCUGUGAGCUUGUAGGCUGUGGAUGCUCAAGAGGAAGACUGAGGAGUGCACCUGGUUGAGCUUUGACCACAGAACCAGACAGAGCCAGGGGAUUCCAUAGUAGCCCCCCCCACAUCCUUAAGCCCAGAUCCAGACUGCUGCUUUGCCUGAGCGGUUCUUUUAUUGAUCGAAUGUCUUUGCUUCACCUGUUGCCCU